GGUGCAAGCGUUAAUCGGAAUUACUGGGCGUAAAGCGCACGCAGGCGGUCUGUCAAGUCGGAUGUGAAAUCCCCGGGCUCAACCUGGGAACUGCAUUCGAAACUGGCAGGCUUGAGUCUUGUAGAGGGGGGUAGAAUUCCAGGUGUAGCGGUGAAAUGCGUAGAGAUCUGGAGGAAUACCGGUGGCGAAGGCGGCCCCCUGGACAAAGACUGACGCUCAGGUGCGAAAGCGUGGGGAGCAAACAGGAUUAGAUACCCUGGUAGUCCACGCCGUAAACGAUGUCUAC
rnacentral:rRNA from 1 species